AUUUCGUAGCUACCCUAUCGCCAUCAACAAGGUCCAUAAUAAAUAUUGGAAAUUUUAGGAAAAAUGGUGGCAAAAUGAAGCGACUAUAAAAAGGGGGAAAAUAGGAAAAUUGGCAACAUAGUGUUGCAAAAGAUCUAAGCAAGAAGACGGUCCAAAGUAGUUUUUAACACUAAAAAAAAGUGAAUAUUUAUAUGUGUGUUUACUUGUUAACAAAAAGUUCCCCAAAAUCACAAUAUUUUUUUUGGUCUCCACUGACUGCUGAGUGGGGAUCUGGUGUUAAAUGCCCGGUCCUUGGGUUUAAAUUGGCCGUUGAAUUUGAAGGUCUCCCUGUUUGGUGUCAUACUUCUGUUUGGUGUCCGUAUCUGAGGCAGCGGAAUUUGGGUCAAAA